CUCCCAGGAGCCCAAGGCAAAGGGCAGACCAUUUGAGUCAGGUUAAUUCUUUACUACACAAUCCCAAAGUAUCAUUUCUCUAUCUUUGAUUAUCCCAACAUUUCUAAGAAGACUCUAAAUCCUUGUGGAUUUGAAGGACACUUCCUGGGGCAGACAAUUCCAGCCCAGCAAACAGCUGAUCUUCGGCGUUUCACCUGGCGUGAGGUCUGGAGCUGUGGACGUCCUUGGCACUUCUCGCCGUUCACUGACAGCUUGAUCGUUGGCUUUGUCUUUUUAAAACACUCUACACUUCAGCCAAAUUUAGAGUUGGCCGGACUAACAUUUAGACAAGACCCACAGACAGAUAAAGACUUGGAAAGACCUGCCAGUCAGACAAGCAGCCCACGGGAAGCCUGUGCACAUCCAUGUCAGGUCCGAAGAGACUUCUGUUUCACCAGCCUACCGUGGGUAUCAGAUAAUGCAGGACAUGAAAUAAAGUGUAAGAAUAUUAAAUUGUAAAUCUGAACUUCUCAGGUUUAACUCAAACCUCAUCCUUAUUUGAUCAGCAAGACCCCCAAUAAAAGUGAUUCCCUGCUUUGUAUCAGUACAAUUUGAGGCAUUUGAGGAGAUUCGAUAGGUUCAGUUCUUCGCUACAAUCAGCAUCUGGAGCAAUAGCUUCAGCAAUAAAAAUUCUGGUUUAACAGUUAGAACAAAGCAUCAACUACUCCAUCCUGUUCAAAAGAAUUGCAUCAUCAGAAGAGAAUUCCAAAAAUAUUUCAUAUUUUCAAAGGUGAUAUUGGUUCAUUCCACAGAACCAGGAAAUUAUCAAAAAGAUACUUACUUUCAUGCUAUCGAAGUACUGCUGGACUUGCAACAACUAUUGCUAACAUGUUCUUGAAUUAAGCAUCUAUUGUGUAUUUAGAGUAGAAAGUACAGUCAAGUGUUUCACUAACUGCGAGAAAUGUGGAUCCUUCAGCUACAGAGAAAACAGCUUUAAAAUCCUGACGGCCUUAGUGUCUAAAAUCCUCCAUGAUUUGGCCUCAAAUUUCUGUGUCUUCCAGUGAGCAGAAGAGAGCAGAGAUCUUGGAUCGUUUUGAAAGAAUAUCACCUUUUUAAAAAAGAAUAUCAACGUAGUUAUUGCGGCCACUCCAUGGACGCGGGAUGGGCCCCCAUCCAAUAUGUGGUUCCCACAUCAAGACUGAUGACGUCACUCAAUCACCCAAAGUGCAUGAAAAGAUUUGUUACCAGCCUCCCAAGUUGGUCCCUGACGACUCGGGAGAGCAGGAGAGGAGACUUUCGUGGGGUCUUUCUGGCCCUUAGGAGCUGGCUGGCUGCAGACAAAAUUGGCAGAUGCUGAGAGCUGUGCACACAUGGUCCUGGUCCGUGCCCACAUGCGCAGCGUUUAUUGCAGGCCAACCCAGGAGAGGAUACCAGACACGAGUAAGCUCAGUUACGGAACUUGGGGGUAAGAGUGAGGGAGGUAGAUCUAACGGGGGAAGAGAAAGCAGGAAGGAAAGCUCCAAGGAGGAAAUUUUGCCUCAAUGCUCACAGCCC
rnacentral:lncRNA from 1 species